GACGAAGGUGGCGAGCGUUGUUCGGAAUCACUGGGCUUAAAGCGCACGUAGGCGGCCUGUUAAGCGCUUUGUGAAACCCCUCGGCUCAACCGAGGAACCGCUUGGCGUACUGGCAGGCUUGAGGCAUGUAUAGGCGCGUGGAACUCUUGGUGGAGCGGUGAAAUGCGUAGAUAUCAAGAGGAACGCCGGAGGCGAAAGCGAUGCGCUGGGCAUGUCCUGACGCUGAGGUGCGAAAGCCAGGGGAGCAAACGGG
rnacentral:rRNA from 1 species